rnacentral:tRNA from 1 species
GCCUUCGUGGUGUAGUGGUCUGCAUGUUCGAUGCGUAAUCGAGAGGUCCGUGGUUCGAUUCUCGGCGAAGGCG